CCUGGCUCCAGGUGAAAGCCAAGGCCAAGAUUAUUGCUCAACAAGUCUCAAUCCCUGCUUCCACUGAGAGACGCGAGCCAGUCCAGGAGAGGGAGAAAGGUGAUGCCUACAACUAUGUACCUAAGCAACACAGCCACUGUGGAAAGCCAGCCUAGUGUCCAAGGAGGCCGUGAAAAAAGAAUGACCAUCAUUGGUAAACCCAAGUUCCAACCUUUCUGUCCAUACUGUAACAAUAAAGACCACUUCUUGGGAACCUGUCCAAAAGUGAAGUUUAGUCCAUCAGAACUGAGAACUUGGAAAGAGAAGAAUGAUCGUUGUUACAGAUGUGCCCGCUGCCAUAGGCCGGAUAAAUGUACCCUAAAAAAGCCUUGCAACAUCUGCAACGAACUGCAUCUUACCAUCCUGCAUAGCUUUGCACGUCAACUGGCCACACACCCACAGAGCCCAGAGAACUCGGCUACGGCAGAUAUUUCUCAAUGUCUCAAUGUGCUCACCCGUACACCCUGUAUCAACGACACACUGUACAUCGAUCAGCCAAACCGAUCUUCUCAGGUGAUGUUGAAAGUAAUUCCGGUCUUUUUAAUCAAUGGCCAGCAGAGGCUACAGACGUAUACCAUACUCGAUGAUGGCUCAGAAAGAACAAUCAUUCUGACCUCAGCAGCGUCUCAGCUUCUACUUAAAGGGCCAAAAGAGAUCCUUAAUCUCAGACAUGAAGUAAUUCCCAUGAGUGGUGAUACCAUCUCCUGUCAUAUUUCCCCUGUGAGCCAGAGGAAGAAGAAGAUUAGGUUUCCUAUAGCCAAUGCCUUUCCUGCCCCAGUCCUCAACUUGGCUGAGCAUUCUUGUUGUGCCUCUGACCUGCAGAGGGAAUAUUCCCACUUGCAAGGCUUACCCUUACCAGACUUUGUCCAUGCUCAGCCAUUAAUCCUAAUAGGCUCAGAUCAUUCCCACUUGUUGGUGCCCAAAGGGCCUGUCCGCAUUGGACCUUAUGGGGGACCCAUCGCCGUUCAUACUGCCCUGGGAUGGGCUGUCCAUGGCCCAUCCAAUGCCUUGUAUCGAUCUCCUCCUUCAGAUGCACAAGCUUUGUUCACUCUUUGUGAUCGUGUAUCCUGCCCAGCUACUGCGGAGUUGAUGGAGAAUGUGGAGA
ensembl:lncRNA